GGAAGUAAAAGUCGUAACAAGGUUUCCGUAGGUGAACCUGCGGAAGGAUCAUUAAUGAAACCGUGCGAACGUUUGGGUUGCGGUCAGGGUUGUUGCUGGUUCUUUUGGGCAUGUGCACACCUUGAUUUCGCUUCCCAAGUGUUUUCGACACACACACACACCCCUUGUGCACCAUCUGUAGCUGGGGAUGAUCACGAAGCCUCUUUGGGGGUUUCGAAUGCUCCGGCUACGAAGUUUUAUGUUACAUAUGCCCCUUUGUAAAAAAGUUUAUCGGAACGUUUGUGACUGCGUCUUCGACGGCGCAAAUCGAAUACAACUUUCAGCAACGGAUCUCUUGGCUCUCGCAUCGAUGAAGAACGCAGCGAAAUGCGAUAAGUAAUGUGAAUUGCAGAAUUCAGUGAAUCAUCGAAUCUUUGAACGCACCUUGCGCUCCUUGGUAUUCCGAGGAGCAUGCCUGUYUGAGUGUCAUGAAAUUCUCAACUGCCCCUUAUGUGAGGGGUGAAGUUGGAUUUGGAGCUCUUUUUUGCCGGCUUUUGUUUCUGGCUGCUCCUAAAAGCAUUUCGAGCCUCUGGAAAGUAUCUUUGACGUGAUAGCCAUCUGCGUCAUAGAAAAAAAGGGGGGCUCGUUUUAAACGAGAGUUCGUUUUGUGACCCUUUUGACCUCAAAUCAGGCAGGACUACCCGCUGAACUUAA
rnacentral:rRNA from 1 species